AAACCUGAGGAACCCGAAAGGAUCGAACGGGGAGAUUCAGCGUCAGCGGCGCUGGCUCGGCGGUGGUCGGCGAUGUCGUCCGACGGCGAUCCUCGCGGUCGUCUCGAAGCGACACGUCACCGCUCUGCCGUGUCCGGUGUUCGUCGUCGUGCACUUCUCCCCAAGUAGAACGUCGCGACCCGUUGGGUGCUGGUCUACGGCUCGGACGGUAGCCUGUCGCGGCGCUUCGCGGCGCACGAGACAGACCCCCGAACUCCUGACCGGCUGCUCGGCGGUAUCACAAAUAUCUCGAAAGGUACCCGGCCGCAGAUCUCUCUGGAACUGCGUUGGACACGUCGCAAGCGCGGCCAGCGUUUCCCUGGUGGUUACGGACCUAGCGCCGUCCCCGGGCCUGGUCAGCUGUUGGCAGACUGUGAGCUCCGACAGGCACGAGCGGGACGCUUCACGGCGCUCUCGCUCUCGCGGUACCGGUCGGCGACGCUACUGCUUUGGGUACUCUCAGGACCCGUCUUGAAACACGGACCAAGGAGUCUAACAUGUGCGCGAGUCAUUGGGACUCUGAAUCCUAAAGGCGCAAUGAAAGUGAAGUUCGACCUCGCGUCGACCGAGGGAGGAUGAGCCGCGUCACGACGCGGCUCCGCACUCCCGGGGCGUCUCGUUCUCAUCGCGAGAAGAGGCGCACCCAGAGCGUACACGUUGGGACCCGAAAGAUGGUGAACUAUGCCUGGUCAGGACGAAGUCAGGGGAAACCCUGAUGGAGGUCCGUAGCGAUUCUGACGUGCAAAUCGAUCGUCGGAACUGGGUAUAGGGGCGAAAGACUAAUCGAACCAUCUAGUAGCUGGUUCCCUCCGAAGUUUCCCUCAGGAUAGCUGGCACUCACUCGAGGAGGGAGUCUCAUCUGGUAAAGCGAAUGAUUAGAGGCCUUGGGGCCGAAACGACCUCAACCUAUUCUCAAACUUUAAAUGGGUGAGAUCUCUGGCUUGCUUGAACGGUGAAGCCACGAGAUAUUAUAUAUGUAAAUGUAUAACACACGGAUCAGAGUGCCAAGUGGGCCAAUUUU
rnacentral:rRNA from 1 species